GCGUCAGUGGUGCACCGGCUAACAUACGCUCCCGGAAAGAGUGAGAUCUGCGUUCGAAUCCCAGCUGUCGCA